GACGAACGCUGGCGGCGUGCUUAACACAUGCAAGUCGAACGGAAAGGCCCUGCUUUUGUGGGGUGCUCGAGUGGUGAACGGGUGAGUAACACGUGAGUAACCUGCCCUUGACUUUGGGAUAACUUCAGGAAACUGGGGCUAAUACCGGAUAGGAGCUCCUGCUGCAUGGUGGGGGUUGGAAAGUUUCGGCGGUUGGGGAUGGACUCGCGGCUUAUCAGCUUGUUGGUGGGGUAGUGGCUUACCAAGGCUUUGACGGGUAGCCGGCCUGAGAGGGUGACCGGCGACAUGGCGACUACGAUACGGACCAGACUCGAACGGUAGGCAGCAGUGGGGAAUCUUGCACAAUGGGCGGAAGCCUGAUGCAGAAACGCCGGGUGCGGGAUGACGGCCUGCGGGUUGUGAACCGCUUUCGCCUGUGACGAAGCGUUAGUGACGGUAAUGGGUAAAGAAGCACCGGCUAACUACGUG
rnacentral:rRNA from 1 species